AAUGACUCACGGCAUUGACACCUUCAUGACAUGCUCAUGACACCAUUCUAGAUGGUGUCACAAAGGAACUAGGUAGAUGAGGGACGUUCUCAGGGAUCUUUCAGUAGUUCAUAUGACUUUACCAUAAUUAAUUCUUUAAUUCACUAUUUUUGAACACCUAUUUCUUAUCACUAGAAUAAGGAAGUGCAACAAAAGCCUUCUAUAAAUAUGUCAUCUUAUAUUUGAUCAUUACCUAACGAUAGAGUCCUUGAAACAAGGCAUAAGCAGAAUCCAGGAGGCACCACUGAUCGCGAGAACCUUCCCUAGUCUACCACAUGUGCCUGAGCGCCAUCACUGUACGUGAACACUCA
rnacentral:lncRNA from 1 species